AGACAAGAAGCUGAUAAAAUAAUAGUAUUGGUAAGUACAGGACUCAGAAUGAAUAGAAUAGGUAUUCAUAGAAAUACCUAUGAGGAAAUUAAUUGUAGUUGAUUAAAAAUUGAGAAGUAAAUGGUCAUUACCAAGGCUUUUAGAAUGCAGUUUCUCAUUUGCUGUGGACAUGACCAUAAAGAAAAAUUCCCAUUAGGUUUUCCAUAUGCUACUUGACUAGCAGUUAACAUGUUGGGAACAUUUUUUGAGCAAAUCUUUAUCCAGUUGUUACUUAUAUGUAGAUGGUUCUAGAAUGUUCAUCCCAUUACUCCCAUGUUCUUAUUAUGCAGGGCUAAAAGCACAACUGGAUGACCUUGAGAAAGGGCUAUUUUCAGAUGGCCUGGAUGGACAGCAAAGAAAUCAAACCUACCCCUUAAAUAAAAAUUUAUUGAUAAUAAAUAAUUUUAUACAUUAAAAAAGAACCCUUAACACAAUUUAUAGGAAGUCAGUGUGUAUUUUUGGCUUGACUUUUCCUAGUGCUUUCUGUAGAAAAACAGCUGUCUUUGUACUUUCCUCAUGUACUUGCUUCUCUUUGUUGUUUCAUCUCAGCUAACUGCCUCUGUAAGAGAAAAUUGUGUAAUUAGAUUGGCACAUGUAGCAAAACACUAAACGCCAGCAAAUAAAAAAGGAAACCUUAGUGCCUUUUGGUGCAAAAAAAAAAAAAAAAUUUUGAGAAGUAAUCACCUGAAUUAUCUGUGCAGAAGACAUACCUAUGUCCUUCAAAACAUGAAAGAGCUGGACAUGACUACUGUAGCAUUUGAGAUUUUAGUAUUUACAGAAAGUUUAAGUCAUCAGAAGAAUGCAUCAUAGAAGUUUUUUAAUGUAUUAGUGUUUUUUAGUUUUAUUUAUGAAUAGUUUGCCUAUGUAUAUGUGCGCUGUGUGCAUGGUUAGUGUCCAUGGAGGUCAGAAUGGGGCAUUAGAUCCCUACAGUUGGAGUUGAGGGUUAUGACCCUCCAUGUGGGUACUAGGAAUUGAGUUUGGAUGCUCUGUAAAAGCAAGUACUCCAAACGGCUGAACCCUCUCUAGCCUUGAAACUAGUACAUUUUUAAGAGACUUAAGAAUGAAAAAUGGAGUAGAGAAAAAAUUUAAAGAUUCAAUAUUUAUCCUAAAGAAUAAAAGAUCAGAAUAAGGGGUUGGGGAUUUAGCUCAGUGGUAGAGCGCAAGGCCCUGGGUUCAGUCCCCAGCUCUGUUAAAAAAAAAAAAAAAAUCAGAAUAAGAAGGUACUCCUAUUUUGGAGCAUAAAUGCCAAAGAAAGUCAGAGGAGCAGUGAGCACACUGUCAGUUAUGAUCUCGUGGAAAUCAUGAGAUCAACAGUGAGCAAGUGUGGGAGAGCCUCCUUCGUUUGGUAAGUACUCACUGAAUACCACAUUCCAGGCACCAUUUUACAUCGUAGAAAUAAAGCUAGGAGUACAAAAAGGCCUUCAUGGAGCUUACUUGCUAGUGAAGAAUGAUUAGUUAACUUUAUAGAAAAGUUGUGUGUGGUAACUCAUUCCUAUUUUCCCACACUAUGGUGACUAAGACAGGAGGAUUGCUUUAAGUUUGAUGCCAGUCUAAAAAUAUGUUUGUACAACUGUAUUUCAUUCUCUUUCCUCCUCCUCUUUGCAUGUAUGUAUGUAUAUAUGUAUGCAUGCAUGCUUGUAUGUAUGUAUACAUAUAUAUGUGUACACACAUAAUGCUGAGUUUUUAACCUAUGUUAAUUAAAAAGUAAUAAACCAUGUUCUAAACCACUUUCUUGAAGUAGUAGCUGGUUCCAGGAGGCAUACUCAUGGGAGUACAGAUAAUCCUGGUCUUACAACAGAGGCAAGAGGUCUAGGUUACUACUAGGGAUGUACAAACCAGUUUGAAGGGACUCUUUGAUCAAUCAUUUAUGGUGAAUGCUAGGCCAGGAACUCAUCUCAAAACUGAAAAAGAAAGAUAAAGUAUUUAUCAUACAUUUCCAUUACAACCAGAUGUCCUCACACGCAGUAGUGUAAUGUUUUGUUUUGUUUUGUUUUGUUUUUGUGGCAAGCAGCCUGGAUCAUACCCACUGAUGGGAGGUAAGUGAAGGGAUAGCUUGCAGGAUUUAACACUCUUGUUUGUGUUUUGUAGGU
rnacentral:lncRNA from 1 species